rnacentral:rRNA from 1 species
GAUGAACGCUGGCGGCGUGCCUAAUACAUGCAAGUCGAGCGAACGGACGAGAAGCUUGUUUCUCUGAUGUUAGCGGCGGACGGGUGAGUAACACGUGGAUAACCUACCUAUAAGACUGGGAUAACUUCGGGAAACCGGAGCUAAUACCGGAUAAUAUUUUGAACCGCAUGGUUCAAAAGUGAAAGACGGUCUUGCUGUCACUUAUAGAUGGAUCCGCGCUGCAUUAGCUAGUUGGUAAGGUAACGGCUUACCAAGGCAACGAUGCAUAGCCGACCUGAGAGGGUGAUCGGCCACACUGGAACUGAGACACGGUCCAGACUCCUACGGGAGGCAGCAGUAGGGAAUCUUCCGCAAUGGGCGAAAGCCUGACGGAGCAACGCCGCGUGAGUGAUGAAGGUCUUCGGAUCAUAAAACUCUGUUAUUAGGGAAGAACAUAUGUGUAAGUAACUGUGCACAUCUUGACGGUACCUAAUCAGAAAGCCACGGCUAACUACGUG